CACGUAGGGGGCGAGCGUUGUCCGGAAUCAUUGGGCGUAAAGAGCUCGUAGGCGGCUCAGUAAGUCGGGUGUGAAACCCCCAGGCUCAACCUGGGGACCGCCACCCGAUACUGCUGUGGCUAGAGUCCAGUAGGGGAGUGGUGGAAUUCCCGGUGUGAGCGGUGAAAUGCGCAGAUAUCAGGAGGAACACCGAUGGCGAAGGCAGGUCUCUGGGCCACUACUGACGCUGAGAAGCGAAAGCAUGGGGAGCGAACAGG
rnacentral:rRNA from 1 species